rnacentral:lncRNA from 1 species
GCAAAAAGGGGUUUGGCAUUUAAAUAUUUAAAUAAAAAUUUGAAAUAGAUUCAAACUGAAAUAGUCAUGUUUCAGUUAUUUUACCUCUCAGUCAUUUAGUAAGAACCAAAAACUCAAUUAUUAAAGGCUUCAAAAGAGGGAAAAAGAGAAAAUCACUUUAUUACCAAAUAAUCUCAGCAAAUGUGGCGCUCCAUACACCUGGGACAUGGGUGCAUCCGGGUGAUCGGCGAGGAUUUCUGCAUACUGUGGUCUCUCAAAUUUGUAGAGGAGCUGAGUGCCCAGCAUGACAUUGAAGUACUCCUUUAUCCCUGCCACCACCUCAUUAACAGCGUACUCCCUAAAGACAGACGAAAAUAUCACUUUCAAAACAUUUCCCUUCUGAGCAAAGGAAAGGUAAAGAACUAUGGCCAAGACUUUUUUAAUAAUUAAAAUCAAUUUCAAAAUUGUAUAAAAAUAAGGCGGCAUUUAUGACAAGGUUUCUUUGUGUAACCUUGGCUGUCCUGAAACUUACUCUAUAGACCAGCCUCAUAGAGAUCCUCCUACCUCAGCCUCGAGUGCUGGGAUUAACGGCAUGCACAGCACCACCACCACCAGCCUCAAGAUAGUAAACCUUUUAACGACUGUAAAGCACCUACAGCAUACCUUCAGUUAUACCUAAAAAGGUGUAUACUCAAAAAGAGUACAUUCUUACUUAUUAUCUGUAUUUCCUCGAGACUUCUUAUAAUUUGCAUAAUCCUCCAAAAUGGAAUCCACAUUCUUCUUGGCAGGAAGAUAAAAAAGCUAGGGAAAAAAUUUGAAUACAAAUGUUUAUAAAAAUUACAUUCAUUCCAAAAUAAGAUGAGGCACAGAAUACCUGAUAGAUAAGUGGGUUCAAGAUUACAGAUACUAUGCAGAGAGAUGCACUUGUAUAAGCCAACCAAAGAACAUCAACCAAAUUCCAAUUACAACUAUGAAAUCUCAGAUUUCAUGAAUCUUUUAACAAUUAUUAUUAUUCUCAUCCCCAUCAUUCCCACUGCAUCUGUCAUUUGUCAAUUUAAAUAGUUUGUCUCAAGUUCCUAAACUUGGACUUAGAGAACCCAACUCUUAAGUAACAUUCAAGUUUUUGUGGGUUGUUGUGAAACCAGUUUCUUUAGAUUUUGAACAUGUCCCUUCAGAGGGGAGAAGAGAGGGUAAGACUAAGUAAUCAAUCAGUGAACAAGACCCAGAAAGCUGACAUUUGAAUGAUCCACAGGGUGUCCCAACACCCAAGAUGGAGCUCCAGGGACGCAACAUUCACAUUCAUUGCUGAGUCAUCAUUUACUUAGGGGUGGGCUUUUCAGUGGCAUACUUACUUCUGAAACCCAUCAUCCAUCUGUAAACACCAAACCUCACUGGUUUGCCAAGCAGUUCUGCUGCUGGCAUCUGUUCUAUCUUAGGGAAGGUCACUUUUUUAAACAACAUUCUGCAAGUGAUUCAUUAAACCUAAGGACCUUAAUUACAUUCAGGAUCA